rnacentral:rRNA from 1 species
AACGAACGCUGGCGGCAUGCCUAACACAUGCAAGUCGAACGAGACCUUCGGGUCUAGUGGCGCCCGGGUGCGUAACGCGUGGGAACCUGCCCUUAGGUUCGGAAUAACUCCCCGAAAGGGGUGCUAAUACCGGAUAAUGUCUUCGGACCAAAGAUUUAUCGCCCUUGGAUGGGCCCGCGUGGGAUUAGCUAGUUGGUAGGGUAAAAGCCUACCAAGGCGACGAUCCAUAGCUGGUCUGAGAGGAUGAUCAGCCACACUGGGACUGAGACACGGCCCAGACUCCUACGGGAGGCAGCAGUGGGGAAUAUAGGACAAUGGGCGAAAGCCUGAUCCAGCAAUGCCGCGUGAGUGAUGAAGGCCUUAGGGUUGUAAAGCUCUUUUACCCGGGAUGAUAAUGACAGUACCGGGAGAAUAAGCUCCGGCUAACUCCGUG